UUACUUACCUGGACGGGGUCAACUCGCUAUUAAUGAGACGAGUGGCCUAGGCUAGUGACCAUUGCACAUAUAGUUGGGGUGCUAUGCUAAAGGUCUUCCCUUGAAGAAGAGCCUACGUCAUUAUUUGUGGCAGCGGGUGUUUGCGUUCGCGCAGCUCCUA